UACGUAGGGUGCGAGCGUUGUCCGGAAUUAUUGGCGUAAAGGCUCGUAGGCGGUUGUCGCGUCGGAGUGAAUCCACUGGCUUAACUGGUGGCUGCUUCGAUACGGCAGACUGGAGGUAUGCAGGAGAACGAAUUCCUGGUGUAGCGUGAAUGCGCAGAUAUCAGAGACACGUGCGAGCGUCUCUGCAUGUCUGACGCUGAGAGCGAAGUGUGGAGCGACAG
rnacentral:rRNA from 1 species